rnacentral:rRNA from 1 species
ACAGCUCAGUAACACGUGGAUAACAUGCCCUAAGGUGGGGGAUAAUCUCGGGAAACUGAGGAUAAUACCCCAUAGGUCUUCUCUGCUGGAAUGCUUGAAGGCCGAAAACUCCGGUGCCUUAGGAUUGGUCUGCGGCCUAUCAGGUUGUAGUGGGUGUAAUGGACCCACUAGCCCGUGACGGGUAUGGGCCUUGAGAGAGGGAGCCCAGAGAUGGACUCUGAGACAUGAGUCCAGGCCCUACGGGGCGCAGCAGUCGCGAAAACUUCGCAAUGGGGGCAACCCCGACGAGGGAAUUCCAAGUGCCAGCACUUUGUGUUGGCUGUUCUCCUGUCUAAAAAACGGGAGGAGUAAGGGGCGGGUAAGACGGGUGCCAGCCGCCGCGGUAAUACCCGCGCCCCUAGUGGUGGUCGAUAUUAUUGAGCCUAAAACGUCCGUAGCCGGUCUUUUAAAUCUUUGGGCAAAUCGGGCAGCUUAACUGUCCGACUUCCGAGGAGACUGGAAGACUUGGGACCGGGAGAGGUCAGAGGUACUUCUGGGGUAGGGGUAAAAUCCUGUAAUCCUGGAAGGACCACCGGUGGCGAAGGCGUCUGACUAGAACGGAUCCGACGGUGAGGGACGGAGCCCUGGGGCGCAAACGGGAUUAGAUACCCCGGUAGUCCAGGGUGUAAACGCUGCGGGCUUGGUGUUGGGGGUCCUUCGUGGGCGCCCAGUGCCGGAGAGAAGUUGUUAAGCCUGCUGCUUGGGGAGUAUGUCCGCAAGGAUGAAACUUAAAGGAAUUGGCGGGGGAGCAC